AAUGGAUCCGUCCCGUCCAGAUCCGGCCGGAUCCGACCGGGCCCCGCCAUCCUCGUCACUGGAGCACCGCCCCGCUCGACCAACAGCGUCGGCGCUGUCUGUCCCUGCCCGCGUCUGCACGAGGACGACGCUCGUCCCGCUCGCUUGCAGCAAUCGCAUGGGCCGCCGCCCCAGCCGUCCCGGCAUCAAGCCAAGGCCCAGCCCAAGCCACUUCUUCUGCCGCUCCAUCAUUGCCCACCUUGAGAUCAGCCCCGACGCCACCACCAUCUUCAGAUGCGUACGCACACUACUUCCUUCUUCAAAUUGCUUCACCACAUCAUGCUGAAUUUGCAAAUGGCCGCUCCUUACAUGUGUGAUCGAGAAGCAAGGUCAAGUAUGAGCAGGCUGUCAGCGUGUAGUGGUCGGAGAUGCCGUCGCAACUUACAUGUCGCAGUCGUCGGCUCCAUGCUAAGAUUACGAGGCUCUAUGGUUGUAUCGUGGUGUUCCAGUAGUAAACUUUCAGGCUGGUUAGAUAGGGGAUGAAGAUGAUGUAUACUACCUAACGGCCAUCGAGUAAUAAAAGGAGAUGGAUUGAACUACAUGAUUUAUGCCAUGGGAAUGAUGAAAAAUCUUUGAGUGAGGAUGUUGAAUAAUUCAGUCCUGAUCAAUGGCUUCUCAUAAAAGUCUUCCUGCCAGCAAGAGAGCCCUUGCAGAUUUACAGCUUUUAGUGUAAUUAUUACAGAGAAGACAUGCUUAGAGGGCCUAUAAUUUUACUAAGUGAACAUGUACUGAUCUCUACAUGCUUUUUAUUAGAGGUAAAGACGAUGCAUUGCCUAUCCAAGUCUCCAUACAAAUUUGUAGAUGCACAUGGCGUUUUAUCUAUCUGGCUAGCGUUUAUAUUCAAAACUCUUUUGUCCUUAUAUCUUUUCAGUAUCGCUUUCAUGUUUUACUAAGAUCUGUGCGGAAACAACAUGAGCCUUUGCUGCUUGGUCUGGGAUGGUGAAGUGGUGGUUGCAGUGGAAAUCGUUAAAGGGGGCACCGGUGUCCUCAGUUAUACGGUUACAGAAUAUAUGGAGUCAUGCCCAACGUUGCAAGGGAGCCUGUAGUGGGAGGCGACAAAGUAUUGGCUGUUACCAUAGUAUCCAUAAUGAGUUGUGUCAACACCAACCUCAGAGCUGGAAUAAGGAGUGCGCAUUCGCAUUGAUGAAACAACUUUCCCAUAGCCCGCUGCUACUGCCCACUACCACAAUCUUGCAUAGAUACUUCAGUCUGUUGGAUAAUUAUUGGAGAUGAUGCACUCUGAUGGACAGAUAUAGAAACCCAUUGUUAUUUUCAGGGAAAUUUGUGGUGAUUCGUAAUCAAACUUGCAAAGAACAUCCUUCUGAUUAUGUUUGAAGAGGUACGAUGGAUGGUUGAGCUGAGACCACUGUUUGAUAUUUGUUUGCCUUUGCUUUGUAACCAGUGAGGGCUGAAGUGAAUGAAUCUGGAAGUGCUUUAGUGAUUAAUGCUCUGUCCCAAGUUAAGCAUAUUCUACUUCCGGUCACUGGCCGCAAGCCUUACCUUUCAGUUCUAAUUCCUUGAGAUCACCACAGUUGUGAAUAUAGCCAUUGUUUCAACAGAACAAACCUAAGCUUAGCAUGAAAGAGAGUAUGAAAGUUCUGAUCUCUUCAAAAUAUGUGAGGGGCCUUGCUACCUUAGUUGUUGCAUAUGGCAUUAUAAUCAAUUUUGUGUAAGUCACAUGGAAAUCGAAGCUCAAGGCACAGUUCCCCAGUCCAAACGAGCACUCAUCUUUCAUGGGUGAUUUCUCUACCGCAACUGGACUUGCAACUUUCAUGAUGAUGCUGUUAGGCUGGAUUACAUUCCAAAGAUUUGGUUGGGGGGUGGCUUCCAUUAUCACCCCCAUAGUUUUGUGGUGACUGGCGUUGGUUUCUUUUCUGACUUUCAACAAGUGCAGUUCAUUGCCGCAGAGCAGUCUUAGAAGAUCCGUGCACAUGUAGCCUUAUUUCUUAUUCCAAAUUUCAUCAUACAAAAAAAAAAUACUCAGUGUAACCUCAUUUCUGAUGUUUGCGAAAAUUAGAUUAUAA